GUAAAUACUGUGGAGGUCACCUAACCUUGUCUAUUUARGUUUGGUUUAUCUGUUUGUUCACCAGAUCCAACACUCUGAAUAAAAUCUUAAACUAGUUAAAACUUUCAACAACGGAUCUCUUGGUUCUGGCAUCGAUGAAGAACGCAGCGAAAUGCGAUAAGUAAUGUGAAUUGCAGAAUUCAGUGAAUCAUCGAAUCUUUGAACGCACAUUGCGCCCAUUAGUAUUCUAGUGGGCAUGCCUGUUCGAGCGUCAUUUCAACCCUUAAGCCCUUGUUGCUUAGCGUUGGGAGCCUACAGCCUGCUGUAGCUCCUUAAAGGUAGUGGCGGAGUCGGUUCACACUCUAGACGUAGUAAAAUCUUUAUCUCGCCUAUAGAUGAGCCGGCGCCUUGCCGUAAAACCCCUAAUCUUUCACAAGGUUGACCUCGGAUCAGGUAGGAAUACCCGCUGAACUUAAGCAUAUCAAUAAGCGGAGGAAAAGAAACCAACAGGGAUUGCCCUAGUAACGGCGAGUGAAGCGGCAACAGCUCAAAUUUGAAAUCUGGCCUUCGGGUCCGAGUUGUAAUUUGUAGAGGAUGCUUUGGGCGCGGUGCCUUCCGAGUUCCCUGGAACGGGACGCCUUAGAGGGUGAGAGCCCCGUACGGUUGGACAUCAAGCCUCUGUAAAGCUCCUUCGACGAGUCGAGUAGUUUGGGAAUGCUGCUCUAAAUGGGAGGUAAAUUUCUUCUAAAGCUAAAUAUUGGCCAGAGACCGAUAGCGCACAAGUAGAGUGAUCGAAAGAUGAAAAGCACUUUGAAAAGAGGGUUAAAUAGCACGUGAAAUUGUUGAAAGGGAAGCGUUUGCGACCAGACCUUUUCCCAGCGGAUCAUCCGGUGUUCUCACCGGUGCACUUCGCUGGGUUGAGGCCAGCAUCGGUUUCCGCAGGGGGAUAAAAGCCUGGGGAACGUAGCUCCCUCGGGAGUGUUAUAGCCCCUCGCAUAAUACCCUUGCGGGGACCGAGGACCGC
rnacentral:rRNA from 1 species